CCUACGGGGGGCAGCAGUGAGGAAUAUUGGUCAAUGGGCGAGAGCCUGAACCAGCCAAGUCGCGUGAGGGAGUACUGCCCUAUGGGUUGUAAACCUCUUUUGUCGGGGAGCAAAAGCCGGACGUGUCCGGCUGUGAGAGUACCCGAAGAAAAAGCAUCGUCUAACUCCGUGCCAGCAGCAGCGGUAAUACGGAGGAGGGGCGCGUUAUCCGGAUUUUUUGGGUUUAAAGGGUGCACAGGCGGAUUUUUAUGUCAGCGGUAAAAUCGUGGGGCUCAACCCCGUCCAGCCGUUGAAACUGGGGACCUAGAGUGUGCGAGAGGAAUGCGGAAUGCGUGGUGUAGCGGUGAAAUGCAUAGAUAUCACGCAGAACCCCGAUUGCGAAGGCAGCAUACCGGUGCACAACUGACGCUCAGGCACGAAAGCGUGGGUAUCGAACAGGAUUAGAUACCCUAGUAGUC
rnacentral:rRNA from 1 species